CGCUCUCGGCCACGUUGGAUCUCUCCCGGCUAGAAAGAAAAGCCUGUUUGUUGCCGCGUCCGGACCGUGGCACCUUUUUUUCGGGUGGACUCGUAAGGGGAGUAGAGGCUGGAAACGAGUCGAAAGCCGUGUUGCAUAAUCUGCCAACCUAGGAAAGAUGAUCCGUCUGGCCCAUUGAGUCAUUGCUGCCUCCUUUCUGCCGACCUGUCUUUGUGUGCCUUCGCACACCGUGGUAACGCUCUAGUCGUUGAUUCUGUUGGGUUUUCAGGAUAAAGAUACCACCACCACCACCCAGGGCUCAAUUCGUAGAGCCCGUGCCUAGCCUGCACGGAGUCCUGGGAUCCAUCUGCAGCACGGUGGGAUGGGAUGGUGCCCGCUUGUCAUCCCAGGACUUAGGCGAUGGAGGCAAGAGGUGAAGCAGCCUCAGCUACAUAGUAUAUUCGAGGCCAGCCUGGAUCCAUGACACCCUGUCUCUGAAAUCACAAAAUAAAGGACUUUUGGUUUUUUGGG